rnacentral:rRNA from 1 species
CGUGUGGUUCUAUUUUGUUGGUUUCUAGGACCGCCGUAAUGAUUAAUAGGGAUGGUCGGGGGCGUCAGUAUUCGGCUGUCAGAGGUGAAAUUCUUGGAUUUGCCGAAGACUAACUACUGCGAAAGCAUUCGCCAAGGAUGUUUUCAUUAAUCAGUGAACGAAAGUUAGGGGAUCGAAAACGAUCAGAUACCGUUGUAGUCUUAACCAUAAACUAUGCCGACUAGGGAUCGGACGGUGUUCUUAUGAUGACCCGUUCGGCACCUUACGAGAAAUCAAAGUUUUUGGGUUCUGGGGGGAGUAUGGUCGCAAGGCUGAAACUUAAAGAAAUUGACGGAAGGGCACCACAAGGCGUGGAGCCUGCGGCUUAAUUCGACUCAACACGGGGAAACU